GGUAAAAUGGCUGAGUAUAAGCAUUGGACUGUAAAUCCAAAGACAGGGACUAACAUCUCUUUUUACCA
rnacentral:tRNA from 1 species